UUUGGAUUUACAGCACUGUAUUGUCUGCUAUUAUGGGAUUGGAGACCAGGCUAAUAGGGGGAUCUGUUAGCUACUGGCACAGAAGAGUCAUGAAAAUAGAGGUGUGCUCCUGCUCCCAGGAGAAGGGGCAAAAUUGAACCCUAAAUUCUUUGCUGGGCUUGCUUUCUUUUUAGCUGUGGCUCUUGCUAACUUAUGGAUCUUGUACUUGAUGCAGGCUGUCCUGAAAAGAUAGAGGAACAUGAAUUGUUGCUUCUUGAACUGCUGGGUGUCUGCAGUUCCCUCGCUGAUACCAACUAAAGGCAGAAAUGCAUUGCUGCAGAUUAGAUGGAUGAAAGAUUUCCCCAGUCCCCAUGCCAUAAACCAGGGUCUCAUGGAAGCCAGUUGGGCUACUCAUGGCAUAAGCAUUCGAUACAAGAUUAUCUGAAUUUCAUCCCUGGGGAGCUGUUAUCUUUCUUCACUUGAUGUGUCUUCACUUCCAUCUGUGCUUUAAAGUGUGCUUCUGGUCACUUCUGAACCUUCCCUCUCCCUCCUCUCCCUGCAAACAGAUGAAAGAAGAGCAGAAUAAGUGUUCUCCUGAGGAUAUGACCUUCAUUAUCCUAAAGAAAAAUGAGCUCACAAACAUCACAGGGAAGUUGACUCUUUGUAGAACAGUCAAGUUGCCCAGUGAAAAUCCUAUCCACGUAGAAUUUUAUUUUAAAUGCCCUUGAGUAACCAACAAUAUGUUGAAGAGAAGAAACAGUUUGGAAGCAGUUCUUUCCAAAUCUCCAAACUAGGUGUCAGCAUAGCUGAUCAUGGUUUUGCAGUUUGUUCUUCAACAUCCCAAAUAGCGGCAUUCUGCAUGAGCUCAGCUGGCUACCAGUUGUGUUCAGCAGUUGUUCAGGAGAGGUAACAGAUCGUUCCUGGGUUGGUCCGACCUGGAGGGUGGACAGGAGGGCACAUUGCCACGCUGGUAGAAAGUACAGGCUUCGCUGCAGAGGUGUGACCUGCUCCACCUAACGGCAGAGCAAAAAGCCACUGGCUUUAAAAGUUAUUGACUGCUUUCCCACUGGAAAGGGGGCAGGGAGAUCUGGGGUGGUGUCGUUGGUGUGUGCGCAGGUGCUUCCUCUUCUCUUGCUCCCUGACAAGCACCCCAAGCCCUCGCCGGGGGCUGCGAGCAGCAGGGUGCCCCGCAGAGGCUCUGGGGGAGCAUGUCGUCGGGGCACCGAGUGCAGGGCUCGCUCCAGCUGUCUGCUUCCACUUGCUCUCGCUCCUUGGAGCGGGUGCAGUGAGGAGGGUGUGAAGCAGAAGUGAGAGGAUUACUUACUUCUCCUUCACCCUCCCACCUUUCCAAGUGCAUCAGGGCGUUGUGAGGGGACCUGGCGUGCGAUGUGCUAGAGCUGGCCCUAUCAGUCAGAGCAGCCCCAGGGCAGUAGACCUUGACACAGUAUUGGGAGCAGUGGCCAGUUUGGCUUAAUCUGCUGGACGGGUUCAGUCCUGGCGCCAGCAGCAGCUAUGCUGUUUUCUAGUUUGGGGAUCUGGAAAGGAUUUCUCCUAGGUGAUGAAACUGGCCAAAAGCUGUAAUGGUUUCCAUGAUGAUGUUUAGGUCUUUAAAUGACAAGCGUCUGAACCCUGGGAGAGCCCCAGGUGUGUGAAGAGUUGGAGAGGAUCCAGUCUGAGCCCCACAUAAAUCAGGGGGCUGAUUAAGCAAGUAUGCAUGCAGCGAUUGCACAUGUCUCCAUGAAGAUAAAGUCUCUGGCUUCAAAUCAGUAUCCCUGGCUGUUCCUGAGGGUGAAGAGAGAGCAUGGAUUUCAUCACCUCCACAAAGUUUUGAGCAAUUAGAGCUAUUGGCAUGUCUUGCAGCUGGUGCAGGAGCAAAACUGCCAGAUAGUUGGAUGUUUACCUCCUCUGGGUAGCAAUGGUAGAUAAAGAUUUAACUUCAUAAUUGACCAGGCUGGGGUUUAUGUGUUCAGUGGGCUUUGUUCACAAUGUUUCUUUGCACAGCACAAAAGUAUUAUCUAUCAUCUGCUUGCUCUUUCUCUUGUUAUACCUGAAGGACUGUCUAUACCAUAAAAAUACCUUGCACCAACAAAUAGCUCACACAGCUGUCCUGUUUCUGUAGCUGGUGUACCUACGCAAAAACCCAGAGUGUCUACGCAGAGUAAAUAGGUAACUUGACAUUGCUGUGUAAUGGUAGUGAUGUUGUACCUUGCUUCCCAGGACUUUUCUUCUUGUAUUUGGUCUAAAAUUCCUAAGUAAAAACUGGCUACUGUGGUAGUUGUUAUUCAAUAAACAUUAGAGUAUAGCUGUGCUCUGAAAGAUA
ensembl:lncRNA